CGGAACGAGUUAUCUGAACCUUCGGGGAACGAUAACGGCGUCGAGCGGCGGACGGGUGAGUAAUGCCUAGGAAAUUGCCCUGAUGUGGGGGAUAACCAUUGGAAACGAUGGCUAAUACCGCAUAAUACCUACGGGUCAAAGAGGGGGACCUUCGGGCCUCUCGCGUCAGGAUAUGCCUAGGUGGGAUUAGCUAGUUGGUGAGGUAAUGGCUCACCAAGGCGACGAUCCCUAGCUGGUCUGAGAGGAUGAUCAGCCACACUGGAACUGAGACACGGUCCAGACUCCUACGGGAGGCAGCAGUGGGGAAUAUUGCACAAUGGGCGCAAGCCUGAUGCAGCCAUGCCGCGUGUGUGAAGAAG
rnacentral:rRNA from 1 species